CACGUGAGGCGCAAGCGUUUAUCCGGAAUUAUUGGGCGUAAAGAGCUCGUAGGUGGUCUGUUGCGUCCGCUGUGAAAUCUCAGGGCUUAACCCUGAGCCUGCAGUGGAUACGGGCAGACUAGAGGUAGGUAGGGGAGAAUGGAAUUCCCGGUGUAGCGGUGAAAUGCGCAGAUAUCGGGAGGAACACCGGUGGCGAAGGCGGUUCUCUGGGCCUUACCUGACGCUGAGGAGCGAAAGCGUGGGGAGCGAACAGG
rnacentral:rRNA from 1 species